rnacentral:misc_RNA from 1 species
GAUGAAGAACGUAGCGAAAUGCGAUACGUAAUGUGAAUUGCAAAUUCAGUGAAUCAUCGAGCCUUUGAACGCACAUUGCGCCCCCUGGUAUUCCGGGGGGCAUGCCUGUCCGAGCGUCAUUGCUGCCCUCAAGCACGGCUUGUGUGUUGGGCCCCGUCCUCCGAUCCCGGGGGACGGGCCCGAAAGGCAGCGGCGGCACCGCGUCCGGUCCUCGAGCGUAUGGGGCUUUGUCACCCGCUCUGUAGGCCCGGCCGGCGCCUGCCGAUCAACCCAAAUUUUUUAUCCAGGUUGACCUCGGAUCAGGUAGGGAUACCCGCUGAACUUAAGCAUAUCAAUAAGCGGAGGA